UCGUGCUGGUCACGAUGACGUUCGUCCUUCGGGUCGUUCGUGAUGGGUUCGGCCUUUCGGGGUCGUUCCCUACCCAAUUGAAACACGGAAGCUUCGGCGACCGUGAACGGUGAAGUCUGGGUUCUUAUGCGCUGCGUUGAGUUGACGUUUUACCGUGUCGACAAAUGAAACCAGCCGGCUGCAUGCCGCGUGUCCUGAGACGGCGCCCGUGUGUGUAGUAGGAUUGAAAAGCCCGAGCGGCUGCCCUGACAAACAUACAUUUUACAUUUAUUUUGUUGGAAAAGAGCUUUAAGUUACUCCGGUGGAUCACUUGGCUCGCGGGUCGAUGAAGAACGCAGUGAAUUGCGAUAAUAAGUACGAAUUACAGAUAUUAUGAGUACCAUGUUUUUGAAUGCAUAUUGCGCUCUUGGGCUUUGCUCUUGAGCAUAUCCGAUUCAGGGUGUGUUUUACACUUGCAGAAACGCUGUAUUGUUUUUCUAGUUUCUGAUCAUCAAGCUGUCUCGCGUCGGUCCUUGUGAUUGGCGUUAGGCGGAAAAUGAGGUGUUUCACCUAUGCCUUCUGGCUUCAACUGUUUGUCGUGGGAGCCUGGACUUGUCGCCGGUAUUGUUUUGGUGGCGGGUUUGGGUUCUUUGUGACUAAACCUUGUGGCGAUGUUGCUCGACUUAACCGUCAAGGAUGUCUGAUUAAUUUUUGAAUCCUGGUUCUGUUCGUUGCUGCAUCAUUUCAAGUCACUUGGGCAGUGAGGCUUGGUAUAAACCACCUGAGUUGGGUAUGAUUACCUGCUGAACUUAAGCAUAUCAGUAAGCAGA
rnacentral:rRNA from 1 species